AGAUUGAACGCUGGCGGAAUGCUUUACACAUGCAAGUCGAACGGCAGCACGGGGGCAACCCUGGUGGCGAGUGGCGAACGGGUGAGUAACACAUCGGAACGUGCCCAUGUCGUGGGGGAUAACGUAGCGAAAGCUACGCUAAUACCGCAUACGAUCUACGGAUGAAAGCGGGGGAUCGCAAGACCUCGCGCGAUUGGAGCGGCCGAUGGCAGAUUAGGUAGUUGGUGGGUAAAGGCUCACCAAGCCUUCGAUCUGUAGCUGGUCUGAGAGGACGACCAGCCACACUGGGACUGAGACACGGCCCAGACUCCUACGGGAGGCAGCGAGUGGGGAAUUUUGGACAAGUGGGCGCAAGCCUGAUCCAGCCAUUCCGCGUGCAGGAUGAAGGCCCUCGGUUGUAAACUGCUUUUGACGGAACGAAAGGCUUCUUUCUAAUACAGGAGCUACAUGACGGUACCGUAAGAAUAACGCAACCGGCUAAACGUACGUAGACCCAGACCACGGUACCCG
rnacentral:rRNA from 1 species